GCUGCGGGCAGAGUUAGUGCAGCCUCGGGAGAUUUGGGACCCAAUCUAAGGACAGGAGGUCUUUGUUGGAGCUUCCACCAUGCAGUUUGGACUUUUAACCUCCAAAAUUGUCAAUGAGAUGAUUCACUGUGUUUUUUAAAGGACCCUGACUCUUCAGUGGAAUAUGUCAUUUUGACAACCAUCUUACCACUUCUCCUUUCCUCCCAUCCGUGUCACCGUCAUCAUGAAAUGUAAAUCAACAUGAUCAUGCAUUCUUAACAACUUGCUCAGUCCACUGAUGCCUUUACUGAUGGGGAGAGAAAUCAUACUUCCAAAAAAUGUUCAUACUGGAGAAAUGGAGACUUCAUAUUUUGAGAAAACAUGCAGAGAUAUCCAGUGGCAUGGCAAGGACUUUGGAAAAAAUGGCACAGAAAGUACUGCCCCUAAUUUGGAAAGUGGGUCUCUGACGUAGGGAGGAAGUAGAAGGCAAAAUGGUGACCACAAGAAGAUCAAGAGAAGAUAACUAUAUAAUGCCGACAAGAUUUACAAACGACACUGUUAGGUUUAUUUAUUUUUUUAUUUUAUUUUAAAGAGUAAA